UACGUAGGGACCAAGCGUUGUUCGGAUUUACUGGGCGUAAAGGGCGCGUAGGCGGCGUGGUAAGUCAGUUGUGAAAUCUCCGAGCUUAACUCGGAACGGCCAACUGAUACUGCUGUGCUAGAGUGUAGAAGGGGCAAUCAGAAUUCUUGGUGUAGCGGUGAAAUGCGUAGAUAUCAAGAGGAAUACCUGAGGUGAAGACGGGUUGCUAGGCUGACACUGACGCUGAGGCGCGAAAGCCAGGGGAGCAAACGGG
rnacentral:rRNA from 1 species